ACCGGAAUGUUAAUUUUUACUACACAUACAUCUAUGGAAAUUAAAAAGAAGUAGAAAAAUAGUUUUAUGCAUCGUUUUUGACGUUUGACAAGACCGAAUCCUCUUAUACUAUUGUUUUUGUCGAUCUUCUUAAAUAAAGUAAUACGUUCCAUUGCAACAAUUUAUCAAACUUUACAUUUAAAAUGAUAAUUGGAAUUUUUUUGUUUUACAUUUUUAAGAUAGCUUCUAAAUGCCAAAGAUCCUUUUUUUGCGAUUAACGUUUGAAACUUAACUGUAAUAUCGUCUGCUUUUUUACUAUACUAUUUUAAAAUAGUGUGUACACACGCACGGUGCGGUUUGGUGAUAAAGAAAUUAUAAUUAUUUCAAAAUUUUUAAAAGUUUGGUUAUCGAGAUAAGGGAUCGCUGUCCCAAGUGGCCCUACCUUUACUGUUGUAUCGAAUGCUUGUGUGACAUCCACGAACCAGGAAUAAAGUUAGAGGGUACAUGUUUCAAGCUUAUAGUGUGAUUAAAUCAAAUCCAAAUGCCUUGUUGUGAAAGUGAAAUAAAGACUGCAUACAUUUUAGUACAGAUUUACUUUAUGUUUAUUAUAUCACUUUUUCUUGUGGAUUUUCUACUUCUGCCAUUAAAUUUUCUAAAUAGCAAUUAAUACCUAGUUUCUCUUUUUAAAGUUUCGUGUUUUGUUGUUCAGUAUAGUUUUGUCUAUGACUUUUUGACUGUUCCUUUCUUCGAAUAUGCAAUUGUUCUCUUUUCUUUUACUCAUAUUUGUGUUUCCAAAUGUUUGUGUUUGAAUAAAGUCAAUAAGUAUUAUUUACAGCCAAAAGUCAUUUUAUCUGACGUUUAAAAUGUAGUAGAACAUCAAUAAGAUAAAACCAAGGAAUUAUGGAGGUUUUUAUUUACUAAGGAAAGAUAAAGAUGGAAGAGUUAGGUUAAAUAUAAAUGAAACUUUGAAAUCUUGUACGACUAUAUACGUAGUUUAUUUUACAUUUGAAGAUUCAUUCAAAAUGACUCAUUGAUAGAUGAUUGAAGUUACAAAUUUGAGCUAUUGAGGUGCAAAGCCCAAAUUAUUCGUUUAAGUUAAAGAGGGUUUGUAUUUUAAGUAAAAGAGGUUUUGGGCUCCGAAGAGAACGGAACACAAUAUUUUAUAAAUUUAUGAUGUUAUUACUUUAUCGUGGUUUAAGUUAUCAAGGUUCUAAUAUGAGACUAAGCAACAUAUUAAUGGGAAUCACAUAGUCAAUAGUCAUAACGGAUCAAUAAACAAAACGGAUAUGGCCAUUGCACUGCCAAAGGUAGAAGACUUUAAAUAUCUACAUAUUUUAAAAUUUAGAGUCGUAAAUAUACACCACCCAUGAUGUCAUGAACUGAAGCCAUAUUGUAUUUAUCAGAAAAUUUUGACGUACGACCAUAGAUGACCUUAAAAUACGGAGGUACUUUUGCCGGGUAGUAAUUGUAAUUUUGUGGAAUUUCUUCUGUCAGGAACAUCUUCAUUCUUUUGAUAAUGUUUGUAAUUGAAUUUAUCAUCAUUUAUAUUAAAACAACUUCAAGAUACAA